rnacentral:rRNA from 1 species
UACGGGGGGGGCAAGCGUUGUUCGGAAUUACUGGGCGUAAAGGGCUUGUAGGUGGCCGGCUAAGUCAGACGUGAAAUCCCUCAGCUUAACUGGGGAACUGCGUCUGGGACUGGUCGGCUUGAGGGCCGGAGAGGAACGCGGAAUUCCAGGUGUAGCGGUGAAAUGCGUAGAUAUCAGGAGGAACACCUGUGGUGUAGACGGCUUUCUGGACCGUAGCUGACGCUGAGACACGAAAGCGUGGGUAGCAAACAGG